rnacentral:lncRNA from 1 species
GGGGCAUCAAAUCCUUGUGGUGUGACAAAGAGAGGGGGAGAGUUUGAGAGUCAGUCUCGGUUUGCUGUCUCUGGGGGGGUCUUUCAACUCCUCCUUCUCAUCAGCAGAGUCCUUCCGUAUUCCUUCUCCUUCGCGUUCUUUAUCGGAGCAAUCACUUUAUCUCCUCUUCCCCUUUUCUUUAUUACUUUGGUUCUUCUCGUAGUUUGUCGCUGCCUUUCUGCUUUUACUCCUUUCCCAGCGGAGCGUCUCCGUUCCUGCCUCUCGCCGCCUACCAGUUCCUUUCAAUUCUCCUCUCCAGCCGCAGAAUUGCCCACGGAAAGCCGCCCGCUGCCCCGGCUUCUCCUUGCGCUCCCCUCCUGCUCCGGCCGCCUCGUCUCCGCCGAGCAGCAGCGGGGAGGGCUGAGCGCGGCUCUCUCUCGCCUCGGCUCCAGCCCCUCGCCCCACACGGCUCCCGCUCCGCCCCGCGGCCGCUCCGCUCGGGCCCCGCUCCCCCCUCUCCGCCGGUGCCCGCGCUCCCUGAGGGGGGACGGCCCGGCCGGGUUGUUAUUGUCACUGCACGGCAGAGGGAGCGCAAAAAUGGCGGCGCAUCCGCCCGCCGUGCAUGACGGGGCGCGGCGCACGGAAGCGCUGCCGGGAAGCGCUGGGACCGCCCCGGGAUCCGCCCCGGGACCCGCCCCCGGCCCCGCCGGCGCCCUCGGCCCCACCGGAACUGAUCGGGCUCGGUGCGCCCCGCGCCGGCGUGCGGCCGCCCCCUGGGGCGGGAGUGCGGGGCCCGGGAGUUCCGUUCCGGGGAGUUCCGCCCCGGGGAGUUCCGCCCCGGGGUCCCGCCCUGCCUCACCCGGCCCAGCCCUGCCCGGCCCGGCCUCAGGCCCGCCGCAGGCUCCGGCCGCGCUCCGUGCGGUGCAUGGUGGCGUUCGCGGGAGCUCGUUCCCCCGCAGCCUGCGGCCUAGGCCGAGGCCUGUUUGCUUGGGUUGGAAAUUAUUUUUCUUACACUUAUUUAUAAACAAUAAUUUAGCGUCAGCUUUUUGA